UGCAUUGGUAUAGUGGUUUGAGCAUUGGAUUGUGAUUCUGGAGACCAGGGUUCAAAUCCCUGCUCAGCCA